UACGUAGGGUGCGAGCGUUGUCCGGAAUUAUUGGGCGUAAAGAGCUUGUAGGCGGUUUGUCGCGUCUGCCGUGAAAUUUCGAGGCUCAACCUCGAAACUUGCGGUGGGUACGGGCAGACUAGAGUGUGGUAGGGGAGACUGGAAUUCCUGGUGUAGCGGUGAAAUGCGCAGAUAAUCAGGAGGAACACCGAUGCGAAGGCAGGUCUCUGGCCACUACUGACGCUGAGA
rnacentral:rRNA from 1 species